rnacentral:misc_RNA from 1 species
AAAGUCGUAACAAGGUUUCCGUAGGUGAACCUGCGGAAGGAUCAUUAACAAAUCUACAACAAACACCCUGUGUAAACGUUGGUGUCCCUUGGUGUGUGCUGUUGGCUGCUCUGUGCAGCUGCUGCUAGCCAAGGGGCUCUCUAUUACAUUAGAUGAUUGAUUGACAGCCUCUAGAUAUACAGCGUUAACGGAAACAACUUUUAACAAUGGAUCUCUUGGCUCUU